CCAGACUGUGAGGGAAGUGAAUGGGCAGCGAAGUGCCAAAGGCAAGCGGCCAGAGAAGAGCAGCAACCUGGACAUCCAACCUCUGGAAAAGUGAAAAUCUACUGGGGCCCACUCUCAUUUCAGAGAUUAUAACCUGUCUGGUUUGUAUAACCUCUGAGCCUUGAGCCUCAAAUACCAGGAUGCCCACUGUAAACGGACAGCAGGCUGGGUGCUGAGCAGAGUUGGAGAAUGAGAAGGAAAAGAGAAGUCAGUGGAAGACAAGAGAUCAUUUGUUUCCUGUAUAUCAAUCACCAUGGACCCGAGAUCUCAGGGUAUGCUCAUCAGAAGGGAGGCUGCACGAGCCCUGCUCCUAAAUUCUUGGAGAACACUUAAACAAGUCAGCUAACUGCAAGAGCCCAAUUUAUCAGACUCUAUGGUGGAUAGAGGUGUGAAGAAAAACCCAGAUGUCUUCCAAUGAGUAAGCAAAAUAGAUUGCUCAUCUGUCAUUGUCUGUGGUAUCAUGGACCUGCUAUAAGUCGGAGGUCAGCAACCUCCAGCUUCCAGCCAGAUUUUGUACAGCA
rnacentral:lncRNA from 1 species